rnacentral:rRNA from 1 species
UGCCAGCCGCCGCGGUAAUACGGGCGGAGCAAGCGUUGUUCGGAUUUAUUGGGUGUAAAGGGUGCGCAGGCGGUCGAUUAAGUCUGAGGUGAAAGUUCUACGGCUCAACCGAGAAUCUGCCUCGGAUACUGGUCGACUUGAGUACGGAAGGGGAGCGUGGAAUUCCUGGUGUAGCGGUGAAAUGCGUAGAUAUCAGGAGGAACACCCGUGGCGAAGGCGACGCUCUGGUCCGUAACUGACGCUCAGGCACGAAAGCCAGGGGAGCGAACGGGAUUAGAUA